GUAAGUACACAUUGCUAAGACACGAAACGAGCGGUUUGUGUGAGAAAACGAACAGUGUUUAUAUAAUUUUACCUCUUUUAACCACAGCCACGUCCAAGUACUCUGAGGGCACGGGCGCUUCUGUCUGCGCAAGCGCCGGAAAGCCCCGGAAGUGAUCUCUCGCGCAUGUACUCCUGUCUAUCUAAUAAUUUGUUGAUUUGUAUCCUUCCUAGGAAAGUGAUGAAGAUUCCCAAAGAGAAGAGCAGAGUGCAGAACCUUUCACAUUGGCACAGGAAAAUGCCCCUCAAGAAAUACGUGAUGAUAUCCACUCUCAUGGACUAACGGAAGGGCAAAGUUGCAUCUCUAUUUUCUCCUUUGCAUUGAGACACAACACUACUGGUGUAU
ensembl:lncRNA